ACCUAGCGGCGGACGGGUGAGUAAUGCUUAGGAAUCUGCCUAUUAGCGGGGGACAACAUUCCGAAAGGAAUGCUAAUACCGCAUACGCCCUACGGGGGAAAGCAGGGGAUCUUCGGACCUUGCGCUAAUAGAUGAGCCUAAGUCGGAUUAGCUAGUUGGUGGGGUAAAGGCCUACCAAGGCGACGAUCUGUAGCGGGUCUGAGAGGAUGAUCCGCCACACUGGGACUGAGACACGGCCCAGACUCCUACGGGAGGCAGCAGUGGGGAAUAUUGGACAAUGGGCGGAAGCCUGAUCCAGCCAUGCCGCGUGUGUGAAGAAGGCCUUUUGGUUGUAAAGCACUUUAAGCGAGGAGGAGGCUCCUUUAGUUAAUACCUAAAGUGAGUGGACGUUACUCGCAGAAUAAGCACCGGCUAACUCUGUGCCAGCAGCCGCGGUAAUACAGAGGGUGCGAGCGUUAAUCGGAUUUACUGGGCGUAAAGCGUGCGUAGGCGGCUUUUUAAGUCGGAUGUGAAAUCCCUGAGCUUAACUUAGGAAUUGCAUU
rnacentral:rRNA from 1 species